rnacentral:lncRNA from 1 species
UCGCCCCUUCUACAAGAACUCCCUUUGAAGGUUCGUCCAGCUGUCGUGUCUCCCCUAAAUCUUACAUUCACAGCUCGUUCUUCAUUGAUAUGCUGCUGCAUCCUUUGCAUCUGGACGAACGACAAAUAAAUUAAGUAUUUUUUAUGUCCCCCCUCAUGUACACUUGCAAUUUUGGAUUUCUGAUUCUGAGAUUGUAAUUGCACUCCUUUCUACUUCCUGAAUGUUCUUGUAGGUAGUGUUGAAGAGGGAUGACCACGAAUCCUUGAUGCCUCAGCAUAUGUAUUUCCACGAAGAACACAUUAUCUCUUAUUGCCUUGUUGCUUUUCUGCACACCUACAGCAAACAAUUUGCUGCACCAUGACAUUGUUGACAACAACAUAAAUUAUUCUUAUUCAGCAGCAUAAGUACG